rnacentral:rRNA from 1 species
CUACGGGAUGCUGCAGUAAGGAAUAUUGCGCAAUGGAGGCAACUCUGACGCAGCCAUGCCGCGUGCGGGAAGAAGGCCUUAUGGGUCGUAAACUGCUUUUAUUUAGGAAUAAACCCCCGAACGUGUUCGGGGCUGAAGGUACUAAACGAAUAAGCACCGGCUAACUCCGUGCCAGCAGCCGCGGUAAUACGGAGGGUGCAAGCGUUAUCCGGAUUUAUUGGGUUUAAAGGGUGCGCAGGCGGGCUAUUAAGUCAGUGGUGAAAUCCCGGGGCUCAACUCCGGAACUGCCAUUGAUACUGAUAGUCUUGAGUUUGGUUGAAGUGGGCGGAAUGUAGCAUGUAGCGGUGAAAUGCAUAGAUAUGCUACAGAACACCAAUCGCGAAGGCAGCUCACUAAGCCAAAACUGACGCUCAUGCACGAAAGCGUGGGGAUCAAACAGGAUUAGAUACCCGGGUAGUC